CCUUGUACACACCGCCCGUCACACCAUGGGAGUCGGUUGCUCCAGAAGUAGUUAUCCUAACCCUCGGGAGGGAGAUUACCAAGGAGUGAUCGGUGACAGGGGUGAAGUCGUAAACAAGGUACC
rnacentral:rRNA from 1 species